CCACAUACACAAUAUAGUGAGACUGAUCCAAAGAGGACCGUUACACAUGCUUGGGAUGUACAGCACAAAAACAAGCAAUGGACAUUAUGAGAUACAGUGAAGCCCAUGAACUGGCCCAAGGCGGCAAUGAACUGGACAUUGUAGACCCGAAUAACACUAGCUUCCUGAACCAGGACUUCCUUGUGUGGAUGAGGAGGGCAGUGCUUCCUCAGUCCAGGAAGUUCUUCCAGUGAAUUUCAGAAGUUGAAACAGGCCUGAUAUUGGAAAGGCUGAGGGGAAAGAAAGGGGAAAGAAAAAGAAGAAAAAAAGGUUAGAGGUACAUGUCUCUUUCUUUCAGUUGUUCCUCUUUCUUCAUUUCUCUCUUCCUAAUAUAGGCAUGGCAUUAUAAGUGAAAUUGAUGAUGGUCGUGUGUGGGUGGUUCUUUCUUUUCUUUUUUACUCAGGAGACAGAGGCAGAGACUUUGUGAACAUAACAGAUAUUUAUUCAACAUUAUCCUGUUGGUUCUGCCAUAGUGGAAAGCUGCACAUAUUGUAUUACUCUUUAUAACCAUUUCAUUUGUUGGACCCCCACCAAUAAUGGAGAGCACUGUGUCAUUAUGGAAGUGAUAAGUGUUGCCAUAACAACAGAUCCUCUACGUAGUGACCAGUUUCCUGACCAUAACAAGCUCAAAAGAUUUUAUUUCCAAGUGAGGGAGAGCAGCAUGCUGUGAGAGUGCCAUUAGUACUAGACAACUUAAAAAAAAAAAAAAAAAAAAAAGCAAAUGGUCAAAUCUUUACUGACUCAUGGAGAAUUCAUUUGCACACAUUGGUGGUAUUGAUGCCUGUUAUUGAGUGGAGGACAUCUGAAUGCAAUGGAGUAUUUUGUGCUGUGUUUAGCACUAAGUCUCGCAGCAGUUCAGUCCUGCAAUGUUUGCAAAGUGUGGACAAACAAAUGUUAAUUUAAACAAAUUUAAAUAUUCAAAACUCUCUCGCAGCCCACUGAGAAGAGAACUUCAUACUCUAAUAUUAGGCCAGGUUAAUGGCACAUUCUCAAGCAAUUAUCAACUUGUGCCAAAAAUUUGAAUUCUAUAAUUUAACUUCAUGCUGUUUCAAACCCAUACUGACUUUCUUUCUUACGUAGAGCCCAAAAGGAGAUGUUUGGUAUGACAGCCUCAGUCAACAUUCACUUUCAUUCCAUCUAUUUCCAUUGAAUGGUUUCUGUAGGGCUGGACUGGUAAUCUGGCAUACCGGGCAUUUUCCCGGUGGGCCAACUUUGGGGCUGAUCAGGGGCGGCUGGCCAUCAGGAGUACCGAGCGUUAUGCAAAACGGACCACAAAACGACACCUCCAUAUGUAUAAAAGGACAGCGAUUACUCUUCCCAGUCCAGUCCUGUGUGUGGGUGUUUUAUUCCUUUAAAUGUUGAACAAUUAGUCUGCAGGCAUCUACAAGAGAAAAUAGCAACACUCAUCUGAAAAGGUGUGCUUUAGAGAACAGAUCUUCACUCUUCAAUUCAGAGCCCAAAAGACAAGUAUGAUGUUUGAACUGACAAGAAAAUCUACAUCUGAAGCAGAAAGUGAGUUAGAACAUUGCCUUUAAAUUGAAACAUUUGAUAGAUUAUUUGCAUCACUUGCAUUUAGAAUAGAAUCGGAUAGAGAGAAUAGACUACAAAGGCAAAGGACUUCAAAGGCAAAACAUAGUAAUUUAGUCUUUUAGACUAUAAUCUGUCCUGUGACCGACAGGUUUGGCUUAGCUAUACUAAAAUGUAUGAAUAGAUGUAAUCAAUAUAUUACAUAUGUGUAUGUACAACACAUUUGGCCAAACAAUUAAAACACUUAGAAAUCUUUUAUCUCAGUUUCA